UUAGGGUUUGGUUAGGAUUUGAUUUAGGGUUUAGGAUUUGGAUUAAAAUUUGGUUAGGAUUUGGUUAGGAUUUGAUUUAGGAUUUAGGAUUUGAUUUAGAGUUUGAUUAGGAUUUGAUUUAGGGUUAGGAUUUGGUUAGGGUUUGAUUUAGAGUUUGGUUGGAAUUUGAUUUAGGGUUCAAGUUUUGGUUUAGGUUUAGGGUUUGAUUUAGGAUUAGAAUUUUAUUAGGAUUUGAUUAGGAUUUGAUUAGAAUUUGGUUUAGAAUUUAUUUAAGAUUUGGUUUAGACUUUGAUUAGGAUUUUAUUUAGGAUUUAAGAUUUAGUUUAGGAGUUGGUAAGGGUUUAGUUUAGGGUUUAGGAUUUGGUUUAGAAUUUGGUUGAGAUUUGGUUUAAGGUUUAUUUAGGGUUUAGGAUUUGAUUUAGGAUUUAGGAUUUUAUUAGGAUUUAAGAUUUAAUUACUUUUGGCCUAAAAUUUGAAUGAAGUCCAAUAGGAUUUUAACUAGGAUUAAAUUAAGAUUGAAUUGAGAUGUAUUUGAAAAAUAUUUGUGAUCAUUCUAAUAUUUCUUUAAGAUUUCUUAUUGUUUCUUUGAAAUUUCUUUGAGGUUUUUUUGAAUUUGAUUAAAGCUUGCUUAGCAUUAUUAUGAUCUAAUUAGAAUUUAGUUAGUAUUCUACUAUAGUUAGGAUUUUGUUGUUGUAAUUUCCAUUCUACCUUCCAUAGCCAGGUGCCCAGAGUAUUCUCAAGCAAGACUUCACGUAUUACAAUAACGAUUUGCAAUUGAAGCUUCAACA
rnacentral:lncRNA from 1 species